GACGGGGACCCGCACAAGCGGUAGAUGAUGUGGAUUAAUUCGAUGCAACGCGAAAAACCUUACCUACCCUUGACAUGUACGGAACCCUGCUGAGAGGUGGGGGUGCUCGAAAGAGAGCCGUAACACAGGUGCUGCAUGGCUGUCGUCAGCUCGUGUCGUGAGAUGUUGGGUUAAGUCCCGCAACGAGCGCAACCCUUGUCAUUAGUUGCUACGCAAGAGCACUCUAAUGAGACUGCCGGUGACAAACCGGAGGAAGGUGGGGAUGACGUCAAGUCCUCAUGGCCCUUAUGGGUAGGGCUUCACACGUCAUACAAUGGUCGGUACAGAGGGUUGCCAAGCCGCGAGGUGGAGCCAAUCCCAGAAAGCCGAUCGUAGUCCGGAUCGCAGUCUGCAACUCGACUGCGUGAAGUCGGAAUCGCUAGUAAUCGCGGAUCCAGCAUGCCGCGGUGAAUACGUUCCGGGUCUU
rnacentral:rRNA from 1 species